GCCUGGGAACAUAGGCUACUGACAUGGGCUGCCUGUGUCCAGGUCAGUGAUAGUGCAGGGAAGGGAAUUGCUAAAAGCGUUUCCCCAUCUUGGGAACGUCCACUCCUGUCCCUUCCAAACCUGGGGCUUUCCUGCA
ensembl:snoRNA SNORA71 Small nucleolar RNA SNORA71